UUCUUCGGACAAUAUACAAGGUGCUGCAUGGUUGUCGUCAGCUCGUGCCGUGAGGUGUCGGGUUAAGUCCCAUAACGAGCGCAACCCUAUCAUCUGUUGCCAGCAUUUAAGGUGGGGACGUCAGAUGAGACUGCCGGUGGCAAACCGGAGGAAGGUGGGGACGACGUCAAGUCAUCAUGGCCCUUAUGUCCUGGGCUACACACGUGCUACAAUGGCCGGUACAGAGUGAAGCGAAACCGCGAGGUGAAGCAAAACGCAGAAAGCCGGUCUCAGUACGGAUUGGAGUCUGAAACUCGACUUCAUGAAGUUGGAAUCGCUAGUAAUCGCGCAUCAGCAUGGCGCGGUGAAUACGUUCCCGGGCCUU
rnacentral:rRNA from 1 species